rnacentral:rRNA from 1 species
ACGGAGGGGGCGAGCGUUAUUCGGAAUUAUUGGGCGUAAAGGGCGCGUAGGCGGCUUUACAAGUCAAAGGUGAAAUCCCUCGGCUCAACUGAGGAACUGCCUUUGAAACUGUAAGGCUUGAGUCCGGGAGGGGGUAGCGGAAUUCCCAGUGUAGCGGUGAAAUGCGUAGAUAUUGGGAAGAACACCAGUGGCGAAGGCGGCUCACUGGCCAGUUUCUGACGCUGCAGCGCGAAAGCGUGGGGAUCAAACAGGA